GAACGACACACCUGAGCGGAAGCAGGUCGUCACAGAUUUCUUCACGGACCGCCAGCUGCUUCUCCAUGAUGGCCGCCAUAACCUGACUCUUCAUCUCCAGACCCUCCACCACCUGAUGCAGUUGGGCGUGUCCUGCUGGGUGUCCAUGCUGCCCCCCUGGUGAGUGGAGUUCCCCUGGAGGCUGUCGGAGUCCCAGGUUGUUCAUAUCUGAGCCACGUCUGCAGACGAUCAUCAGAACCGGUUGUUGACCCGCUGCCGUCCAGCUGAGCGAGAGGGGACUGCAGCGUCCUGAAAUAAAAGUUGUGGAAAAGUGGAGAAUGUGUCUUCAUU